GUGUGUUCACUGUGUGUGUGUUCACUGCUAUGUGUGUGUGUGUGUGUGUGUGUUCACUGCUGUGUGUGUGCACUUUGGAUAGGUUACUUAGCUGUACGUCACGUCACUUUAUUUGCAGGUGUACGACUGACCGAGCUGCUGUUAUAGAAAAUUACUCAACAUCCUUCUGACCCAUCAGAGCCCAGCAGCACUGUGGUGUAGCAAAAGUGAUUACAGGGAAACAGCAGUCUCCUUUCCUGGAAGUGAUUUUGCACUUUCAUGUCUCUUCUUCACCAUAGUAGUGUGAUGCCUCGAUUACGCACACGCACACACACACACACACACACACAUCAGAAAGCGCGUGUGUUCUCUCGACUCGGUUCCACCUGUUUAUCUGAUUAUACUCCGAAAUAAAAUCCAGCAAGUGUUAAAUUAAAACCCAUCACAUGCCUUUUCAUCUGAAGUCUCUUCACCAGAACUCUCACAUUCAUUUCAGUUCUUCAGAAAACAUACCAGACCCUGAGAGAUGCAAAAGAGAUAUCUCACAGCUGCUUUGUUCUCGAGCAGAUUUCCGUCAUUGUCCACCACACUCAGUUUCACCCCGAGGUGCUUCUCAGUAAGCACUUACGCUUUCAAGAUUAAAAGAAGAAGAAUGAGAAGAAGAAGGAAGCUUUCAAGAACUCAUUCAUGAGUCACAAGAAAUCCGUACGCCGUCAUUAAGUGCCGAACCUGGAACAAAGACCGUCUCAGUGUCUCAGAGUCUCAGAGUCGUGUUAAAGGGGAAAAACGAAGCAAGAACAUCAGCUGGAUUCAUUUUAGGAAAUGAUUUAUAUAGGGUCGAGUUGAUGGUGUCAGAAACGAGAAGAUAAAAAGUGCAAACAUUUCCAAGAAGACAGACAGACAGGCAGACAGGCAGACAGACAGACAGGCAGACAGACAGACAGACAGACAGACAGACAGACAGACAGACAGACAGACAGACAGACAGACAGAGACUGACUGACAGAUAGAUAUUUUUUUUUAAUCCAACACAACCAACAAACUUAAACUAGAAUUCUCCAGCUGUAAAGUUUAUUCUACAGCGAAUAAAUAUAGACUAUAAAAUGUAACCAUUAAAACUUCAACUAUAAAACUAUAAAAUCUACCAAAAAUCACUUAAACAACUUAAAAAAAUAUGGAAGAAUAUUCUACAACUGCUAAAAACAAAUAACUUCUACAUAUAUAUAUAUAUAAAGGUUUCCCACCAUUCAGAGAAAUGUAUAAAUUGUUAAACGAUAAUUUAAUUGUGGAUAAUCUAAUGUUUCCCUUUUUCCCCUUCCAACCCAGGAAACAUACAAAACGCCCUGUACAAAACAAACAGAUCUGUGUGAAAGAAAUCACUUCCUUCUGCGUCAAACACUAUUACCACUGAUCAGCUCCAGUUUACGGUACAGCAACACCCAAGACACAAAGCCUUAUCUCGGUCUUACUCACUUUCUGAGUAAAGCAAUUUAUUGCCACUGUGAGAGAGAGAGAGAGAGAGAGAGAGAGAGAGAGAGAGAGAGAGAGAGAGAGUGUGUGUGUGUGUGUGUGUGUGUGUGUGUGUGUGUGUGUGUGUGUGUGUGUGUUCUCCUCAACAGGCUCCGCCCACCCUCUGUUUCUUGUAAAUGCAUGUCUGAGCCAUGAAGUGAUUACGGUCACUGUAGCUCUGCCACUCAAACCCUGUUUCUGCUCAGAUGACUCAGUGUAGCACGUGUGUCAUUUCAGGAAUGCAGGUACAUCGAGAGACGUAAUCUAGAGGACAAGGAUGUAUUAAAAAAAGCAACAGAAACAAAGUCACGAUGACAUAGUGAGAACAUUCCCCUGUUCUUAGGAAACACUAGAUCCUCUUUCAGUUGAGUGACAAAAUUACUAGGAAGGGUUUUGUUUACACACCUAAUACACUGGAACCGUUUAAAGUUAGCGAUUGGGAUUUUACAUUUCCAGUCGGAUUCGUUUACUUUUGAACGCGUAGGAUUUAAACGUGAGAGAUUUUAAUCGCGAUGAUCGUGACGUGUCCGUAAAAAGAAUAAAGGUUCCACUGAUUCUCUUGUGAGGUUUCUGGCAGCACUCCUACGAGAUCCUGAAGAAUAGCUUUGUUUACAAACUGAAAGCACAGAUUUUUGUGAUCUAAACAAUGAUCUUUGUGUUGUGAAUCUAAUAUUCCCAUGUCUGUUUGUCUGUUUGUCUGUUUGUCUGGUUGUCUGUCUGUCUGUCUGUCUGUCUGUCUGUCUGUCUCUCUGUCUCUCUGUCCUUUCCCCUCCCCGUGUAGACGAGUGAUGAAUAAAACAAGCAUUAAACAAAGGCAGAUGUGUUUUACAAUGGUUUGAAAAUACAUUUAUUAUUAUUAUUAUUAAUAUUAUUAUUAUUAUAAAAAAUACUGGUAAAGAAAUAUAUCUUUUUGCAUAGCAAAAAUAGAAUCACAGGAAGAAGUCAUCUCCCUGCAUUAUAGUGUAAACAUUCAACGAUGAUGUAAACUUCCAACCGUU